GUAAUUUGGACUCAGAAAUAACGUUGGUAGUAUAUUAAUUUUCUGUUGUUAUAAUGUUAUCGUUUUAUAUUGUGCGCAACGCUCAUCUCGACAGCCAUGAUGUACAUGAUUAUCCUACAUACGAUGCGUGAGUGCGUAUACACGUGUGUCAAUCGAGGAGUGCGGAGUGCUCUUUAUUUACAGCAUAUAUUUAUAUAUAAGUAGUAACUAUUAUAUUCUAAAAGUUGUAUAUUAAUGAUAAGAAUUCAAUUAACCAUAUACGUGCUAUAAUUAUUUGUGCUAUGAAUAGUAGCUGGUGAUGUAGGAUUCAUUUUCCGAUUUACAAGAGAGAUUUACAAAAGAGAGGAAAUAUCAAUUAAUUUUUUUACGUUCUAUAAUAGAUUUGUCCUUGGACAUUAAAAAUAUCAUCAAGGGCAAUGAAUAUGUCUUAACAUAUGGGAUCAAUUGUUGUAUCAAAUUCAAAAAACCACCAUUUGAAAAAUUUGAUCCUGGCUAAGAUAAACAUCAGUGAACAAUAUAUUAUAAGGAAAACUCUGUACAAGAUACUAGAAAUGCUAAAAGAUGACCAAGAAGCUUUUACACAAGUCAUAAAGGCUAUUAGACAACAAUCCCUUGUAAUACAGAGAAAGACUUGGAACACUCUAUAAUGGAAUAGCUUAGAUUUGCAAACAUCCGUAAACAAAGGAAAAAAUCUUAAAAGCAACUGUUUGGUAAAGAUCUGGAAAGAUUAAUAAUCUGUUUAAAAGGAAAGAAUAAGAGUUUGGAAAAAAAUAA